rnacentral:rRNA from 1 species
ACCCGCUGGAUUUAAGCAUAUCAGUAAGCGGAGGAAAAGAAACUAACAAGGAUUGCAUUAGUAACGGCGAGUGAAAAUGCAAUAGCUCAAAAUGAAAAUCCGUGGCAAAAAGUUACGGAAUUGUAAUCUAGAAAGGUAUUCGGAAGGUAUCGGGCCUCGCAUAAGUUCAUUGGAACAUGACGUCAUAGAGGGAGAAAACCCCGUAGUCGGCGAAGCCACGGCCGUACGAAUGCUUUUGCAGAGUCGGGUUGUUUGGGAUUGCAGCCCUAAAUGGGAGAUAAACUUCUUCUAAAGCUAAAUAUUUAUGGGAGACCGAUAGCGAACAAGUACUGUGAAGGAAAGGUGAAAAGAACUUUGAAAAGAGGGUUAAAAGACUUGAAAUCGUUGAGAAGGAAGCGGUAGAAGAGUAAUUAUUCGAUAUCGAUGUUACCGAGUAAACAACGGUCGCCGGCGUGAGUAGUACUUCAUCGGGCUUUCUAGCCGGCCGAUAACGGGGUUUUGCGGUUUUUUCGAUGUCGAGAGACAAAAUGAGUUUUGAACAUAGGAAUAACCCCUGAAAAGAACCUUUGCUUGCAGAGAAGUUCAGAGGGAAAACUAAGUUGAAAACUGAGGGGCCUGCGGGCGAUUUUGUCAAAAUGGCUUCUACUGACCCGUCUUGAAACACGGACCAAGGAGUCUAUCCAAUAUGCGAGUGUUAGGGUGGAAAAACCCGAACGCGCAAGGAAACUGAGUAAAAGAUACCAAGCCGCAAGGCAGCAGUAUCGGCCAAUCUUGACCCUCUGGGGAUGGACUUGAGCAAGAGCAUAUUUGAUAGGACCCGAAAGAUGGUGAACUACGCUUGAGUAGGGUGAAGCCAGGGGAAACUCUGGUGGAAGCUCGAAGUGAUACUGACGUGCAAAUCGUUCAUCGAACUUGAGUGUAGGGGCGAAAGACUAAUCGAACCAUCUAGUAGCUGGUUCCCUCUGAAGUUUCUCUCAGGAUAGCAAGGACAGUGACGCAGUUUUAUUAGGUAAAGCGAAUGAUUAGAGGAAUCGGAGCUCAAAGAGUUUUGACCUAUUCUCAAACUUUAAAUUGGUAAGAACUUCUAGCUUGCUUAAUUGAGCUAGAGGGUAGAAUGCGUGUCCUUAGUGGGCCAUUUUUGGUAAGCAGAACUGGCGAUGAGGGAUGAACCUAACGCUGAGAUAAGGUGCCAAAAUCUACGCUCAUGAGACCCCAUAAAAGGUGUUGGUUGAUUUAGACAGCAGGACGGUGGCCCUGGAAGUCGGAACCCGCUAAGGAGUGUGUAACAACUCACCUGCCGAAUCAACUAGCCCUGAAAAUGGAUGGCGCUGCAGCGUAGUACCGAUACUCAGCCAUUGUUGCAAAUGUGAGGCGACAAUGAGUAAGAGGGCGAGGGCAUAGUGUGGAAGCCUUUGGCGUGGGCCUGGGUGGAACUGUGUCUUGUGCAGAUCUUGGUAGUAGUAGCAAAUAUUCAAAUGAGAACUUUGAAGACUGAAGUGGGGAAGGGUUCCAUGAGAACAGCAAUUGGUCAUGGGUUACUCGAUCCUAAGACAUAGGGAAGUCCUUGUAAUACAAGAACGUUCGUCGUUUGUUGUCAAAAGGGAAUGAGGUUAACAUUCCUCAAGCUGGAAGCGGAUAAUGCGUGGUAACACAAAACAGCCCAGAGACGCCGGCAUCACCCCCUGGAAGAGUUAUCUUUUCUUUUUAACGCUUCGUGACCCUGAAAUUGGAUUAUCCAGAGCUAGGGUUGUAUAAGCGGCAGAGCUGUUCACUCUAAGAACAGUCAGGUGCGUUGAUGACGGCCCCUGAAAAUUUGGGUGAGGGAUUUAUAUCGCGCCAGAUCGUACCCAUAACCGCAUCAGGUCUCCAAGGUU